CACCCUUCUGUCUGUCUCUAUGAAUCCGUCUGCUCCAGUGACAGGAUCACUAUAACGUGGUAAACAAACUUCCGUGGAUGGGUAGCUCAGUGGCAGCCCUGUGGAGCCUGCCUCACCUGGACACACGCAGUUGCACCUGAUCCCCUGCUGGAUGAAGUCUGUGGCCACGGACUUCGUGAGGCCAAUCACAGCCGCCUUGGUGGCACUGUACACACAUCUGUUCAGGACCCCUGAGGUGAAAGGAAGACUCAACAAUCGAAGGAACGAAACCACAGUCUCCUUGAGGAAGGGAGCACAACUGACUGUCCCCAGGAACCGCUGUCUUGCUUCCUGCCAUCCCGCCCUUUUUAAAAUUUGGUAUCAGGUUUUCUCCCUGAAGAGGGCCGGUUUCUGACUGUGGGAAGAUAAUACCGUUCCUGGCACAACUCAGUCGAGACUGAGGAGAACCCGCACUGAGGGCAUGUAGGUAGGUCCGGGGGCAUGGAGACCCGUGAAUGCUUUGGGGGAAGAAGCAACACCUGAAAAGCACUCCUGCCCGAUGGGCACUACCUUCUCAUUGAAAUCAGGCUAGGAGGAUGACCAUAAACAAGGCGGGGCUGGUGGACACGGAGAGUGGUAAAGAGUUACAACUGCUGAGAGGAAAUGGAAGACCACGACCAGAGAACAGAGGAAGGAAAUGCAGGACAUGCUGUGCCAUGAAAGUCAAGUAAGAAGUUUCUAAAAAGAAAGCGUCUCAACAGUCAGUGUAGAGAGAGAAGUCGCUUCUGCUUCCGUGAGUUGCUCUAGCCGCUUUCAGACCGAGAGGUGCAGGAAUGGAGGUGAGUGACUGGUCCAGGGAAGAGGCUGCCAAGAUGAUAGGUCUCCCUAUAGUAUUCCCUUCCUUUCUGUUUUGAUACUUAGUUACUAUUUGCACCCAAGAGCAGAGAGUCUAAAACAACCUAAGGCAUUGUGUUGGAUGGAUUAAAGAGUGCAAGGAGAGGCUGAGGCGACCCAAACCAAGUCAAGGACAGCAGCAGGGGUGAAAAUACUGAACCCAACUUGUUUGUCUGUGUGAUAAACAGGAUCAUAUGAAAUGGGGUCCUCAUCAAAAAAGACCAGGAAAAUUAGUCAAGGCUUGAAAACAAAGCCUUAACAUUAUUCUUUCUUAUCCAACCUUGCAAAUAACCCAUUUUUACUUAUUUUUAAUUUUUUUCCAGUUUUAUUGAGCUAUCAUUCUCAUAUGUAACCUGUUUUUAAUACCUAUAGAAUACAUAUACCACAACUGAAUAUAUAAAGAUGAGCUAUGAAGUAAGUUCAGUCUCUCAUCUUCAGAAGUGCAGCAAUUCCUCAGGCAAAACUUUAGAAUAUAGUCACUAGGAGACGCUAGUGCUGCCCCUGACACUGGAUCCAUCUAUUCGGCCAGGUCUGUCUGCUGGUUCUAAAGCCCUGUCCUUGCCUCCUUCCAUGAAGUCUUCUCCACACCAGCUCAGUGCCUGCUGGUAGAGUGCGCAUGCUCCUCCUGGCUCCCCACGCGAUAGCCCUCUCUGGCAAAUACGACUUGGCAGGUAUAAAGUGAAGU